GGAGGCCAUUGCUAUCAGGGUUUGACUAAGCCAUGCGAGUCGAGAGGUGUAAGACCUCGGCAUACUGCUCAGUAACACGUGGUUAACCUGCCCUAAGGUGGAGAAUACCCCGGGAAACUGGGGCUAAUGCUCCAUAGUGGAUAUGUCCUGGAAUGGUAUAUCCUCGAAAGAUCCGUCGCCUUAGGAUGGGACUGCGUCCGAUUAGGUUGUUGGCGGGGUAACGGCCCACCAAGCCAUUGAUCGGUACGGGUUGUGGGAGCAAGAUCCCGGAGAUGGAUUCUGAGACAUGAAUCCAGGCCCUACGGGGCGCAGCAGGCGCGCAAACUUUACAAUGCGAGCAAUCGUGAUAAGGAAACCCUGAGUGCCUGUCGAUGCAGGCUGUUCAUAUAUCUAAAUCAUAUGUGAAGAAAGGGCAGGGCAAGACCGGUGCCAGCCGCCGCGGUAAUACCGGCUGCUCGAGUGAUGGCCACUAUUACUGGGUUUAAAGCGUCCGUAGCUUGACUGUUAGGUCUCUUGGGAAAUCUUCACGCUCAACGUGAAGGCGUCUAAGAGAUACCGGCAGUCUUGGAACUGGGAGAGGUAAACCGUACUUCGGGGGUAGGAGUGAAAUCUUGUAAUCCUCGAGGGACGACCUAUGGCGAAGGCAGUUUACCAGAACAGCUUCGACAGUGAGGGACGAAAGCUGGGGGAGCAAACGGGAUUAGAUACCCCGGUAGUCCCAGCCGUAAACAAUGUGCGUUAGGUGUGUCGGUAACCACGUGUUACUGAUGCGCCGAAGAGAAAUCGUGAAACGCACCACCUGGGAAGUACGGUCGCAAGGCUGAAACUUAA
rnacentral:rRNA from 1 species